GCCCGUCUGUUUGCUAUGAGGUAAAAAUAGGGUUCUAUCUCCUUUCAGGGGGUAACCCUAUUUUCUGCUCAUCUGAAUAGCUUCAUUGUAUUGAUAGGAAGAUAUUUUGACCCAAAAGAUUUGAGAAAGAAGGAAAGGAAAUGCUUCGGUACCUGAUUGUGCAAUGCCACUGAAGAAAAAGAAGACUAAGAAUGUGAAAUUACUGUCGCAACAAAAGAUAAGGAGAACAUUGUUCACAACAAGGAACAGCUCAUCCAAGAAACCAGUGCUGUAAAUAACCAUCUGAUGUCCCCUUCUCAAGUAUCCCCCAAUUCUCAGGAAUGGCUCUGAGAGGGUGCAGUGGGGAGGAGGGGACGAGGAGAGUCCCCUUCUAUGAGCUUCCUUCUAACUGCAAUUGUUUGGACAACCCAUUAGUUUUGCUUUUGCUGUUUGCAGUUCACAAUUGUUAUGAUCCUGAAUCCAGGAUCUUUCCCCACCCCAACUGGGGGAUGAGACAAAGUGAGAAGACUCUACAAACCAGACACUAGGCAACCCCACACUGCUGGAGCCCCACAACAUGAGAACUGGGAGAACCAGAGUCAGCACCCCACCACAAAGCAAGGACAUGGCCCUGCCUCCAUCCUUGGACACAAAGGAGUCCCCCUUGAAAACCUGCCAGUCCAAGUAAAGGUCUUCCAAUGCCACCGCCAGCUAUUACAAAGUUAAGUACGGUUCCUAAACAGAACUUUCUCCAGGGAAGGGGUAGAGUCAAUCCACUCCACAUAGCCAGCAACUACAGAAAUUGACAGUCAGCUCUUAACAUCCACUGGAGCAACAUCCAUCUUUCUUUUUUGUAUCCACCUCUCUUACUCAGAGCUGUCCAGGGUUUGGACCCCCUUUUCCUCCUGUGCAUCCUUUGGAGCUGCAAAAAGCUCUGGUAUCUGGAUCUCUAACUCAGCUGUGGCCCCUGCUCAACCAUUGACCGCCACCUAGAACCAGAUAACUAGCUACAUGCUCUAGAGAAGUUGCAGCUUUCUCUGGAUUCCAGCCAUAGUGGCUUAUGGCAGAACACAAAAUUUCAUUAAAAACAUGAGGUUUUCGACCUCAUAUUUGCCUCCAAUGUGUGGGAGGGGUCAGGGGUAUUUUCAGGGAAGUAGCAGCAGUCUGGAGAAGGUGUUUAACUUUUCAUCCACCACCUCCUUUUUCUUCAGAAUAUCACCAGACUACUUUUUCUCCAAACUGACUUCAGAUCAAACAACACAGAACUCCCCUACAUAUCCCUGUGACUUCUACUCUGGGUUGUAGAAUGUGUGAUUCAUUUUGAAAAGCAACAGGGUACAUCGUUUUAAUAAUUGUCAGAGGAAAACUGAAAUACACAAACUGAAAAAACAAACAAACCCCCUCCCCGCCUCGUGUUGGAAAAACAAAGGUAAAAGAAUGGAUUUUGGUAUAGACAGCCACCCCCACCUGUUUUAAGAAUGUUUUGAAGAAGAGGAAAAAUGUUUGAGUUGAACAUGGUAAAGAGGAGGGAAUAUCCACAGUUUGCCUCCUAUCUCUCUCUGGUGGGGCUGUAUAUAAAUGACAGAUAUUUCUGUGUUAUUGCACUGUUUUAAAAUGUUGAUUGUGUAAACACUUUGCAAAGCAAUUUCACAUGUCUAUCAAGAUAUGGUCACCAGCAGAAGAAAGAAGUAUCUUAAGACACGCAAGCCUUAAAACAGCUACCCGAAAGACAAACAGUAACAAAAUCAGCAAGGGUAGAAAAGAUAGUUAGCAACCUUACAUCCUGCAUUGUGACGUCUCUGCAGUGCCUAAUAAUCCAUUGUGAAGCUCAGUUUAUAGCUUCUUUUCAUGUUUGACUGAAGUAAUCAUGAGGAGAAAGGCCUGCAGCAUUCAAUGGGGAAAAUCCUGAUCACUGUCAAUGGAUUGAAGAUUGUGGAUACAGUUGUUUGUUCUAUGGAACAGUUAUAGUAAGCACUGGCCGAUAGCAUAAUGCUGCAAACUCCCAGUGAUGUUAUGCUACUACAAGGCUGCUGCAUUAGCUACUUGUUCUAAGUCUGGAGCUUGAGUUCUAGAUUAGUGUCACACAACUGUUGCAUUAGUUGCACAUCUGUCACAGAGGUCUAAGCAAGCUUGUGGUAGUGAAACAUUAGAGCAACCUGCAGCACGCCUCAUUUGUUUUAAAGGGUACUUUUGUUCCUUGGUGCAAUUUUUAAAACCCCUGUGCCUUCAUGCAACUAUGCAAUUUCCUUGCAUUACAGCAACUUUGCUCCUUGCACAAGGCAGAGUUAGUCAGUCUGCAAUGCAAGUGUUUUCUUUAAAAUAUCUAGAAACUGGCUUGAACAAAAAGAAAAAUGCAGUGCUUACUAAACAAAGAGAUUUGCAGUGCUUACUAAAUUUAUACACUAGAAUGGCAUUGGAAAUCACUGUCUCGCCAGCAAAGCUGUUGAGCUGCUGCAUGUCAGACCGCUGUUAAAGAACACUAAUGGUCACUAAACAGGUUGGCAACCCUAUGACAUGGUCUAUUAUUAGAAAGUUAUUAAUUGUGCACUGUAAUUCUGUCUGCCGCUUACGCUAUUGUGAGGGUGGCAGUAACAGUGGAAGAAAUCUUCAUUUGGCAUUAGGAGCCUGCAGGACAUUUUGGAGCGGGGUGGAGUUUGGUAUGCCAUGUGUUUUUGUUCCUUAAGCCCCUGCUCAUUUUUAAUUUGUUCUGGUAACAAAUGUCCAUGACCCAUUUUUCUUCCCACAUUUGUUUUCAUGAUGAAGCCGGUGGUGGGGGACCAUACAAGGUAAGGUUUUUAUGGCCCCCUCCCUUACCUUGGACAGGGCACACCAGAAGGCUUCUUGUCUUUUGUUUAAAAGCAGCUUAAAGACACACACGCACAAAAAGUAAACCUCUUUGCCCCACCACAAGAUGAGCACGCCUUCACACAUGCACACACAAACACAAAAGUGGGAGAAUGAAAAUGGGGGGGGGAUUUAUAAUGAAAGAAAUGUAAAUUCAACAAAUAAAUGACAAAAUGAAUGGAGCUGAAACAAAUAUAAAGGGAACAUCAGAGUUCUUUCUGCCAGCUAUAAAUUUAUUUUCCCACAGUGUCCUGAACGUUUUGCUUGUCUGCGGCAUUGCUGGAACAAAUGGAAGUCACCCCAGAACAGGCAGGGUUGGCAGUUGCCUUCAAGGCCAACAGAAUUAUGGAGAUCUGGGGGACUGUGUGUGUGAGAGAAAAAUUGACAGCAUCUACCAAGAGGCAGCAUCUGGGAGAAGCUCUAUGCUCUUCUAACACUUUAAAAAUAAUUUAAAGAAAAGAAGAAAAUGCCCGCCUAUUGGGCACACUAUCACAGCAAUAUUUGACCGUGAAGAUUCCAGGAACAUCUGUGAGUCUGGCACAGGAGGUGGAGAUGAAAGCAUUACUUUGUCUAUCCCCUGUUCCUCAAGUUACAAACCCCAUACACUUUUAUUACCUUGGCAAUAUUAUAUUUUUACUGUCUUCCUCAUAGGGCUUCUGCUGCUGGCACCAGGUGGAAUCCCCCUCCCUCAUGGCUCAAACAUCUUUAAAGGUCUCAUAGUCAGCCUGUGUGGACAAUACAUGAGGGGGUGCUCAUCAAAUGGCCUCUCUACAUAUGCUCCAAAUAGUUAUUUAAAGGAAUAUUGGGAAUACAUGUAGAAGGAUGAUAGAGAUGAAUAGCCCUCUCAUGCAAUUAGGAGAUUCCCCAAUAAUGCAUUGGGUUGAUAUCUGGUGAUGUCAGGGCAGGUGUGUCCUGACAUCACCCCAUCUUGAAUGCAUGUUGUGGCUGGCAUCUCAUCCAAACUGGCCCAAAACAUUGGAAUCCAUUAUUGUUCCAGAGGUACAUUUCUGAAAUUUUACUAUCUGGGUGUGGGGGGGGGGGGGCGGCAGGAUUCCUGCUUCUUUGCUGGAAUCUUUUACACCAAAAGUAAAUGUAAAAGUGAAACUCCCCCACAAAGUAAUUCCAAUGCAUUUUUAAAAAGAUUGUACAAUGCUGCAGAGAUGAAAUUGAGCACAUGUGACUUUAAAAAAUGAAAUGUUAUUUUAAUUCAAUUUAAAACUCUAUGUUGACUAAAGGGUACCAUUUCACAGUUAUUGAGGAAAGAAUUAAAGAAACUAAACUGCUUUUGGAUAUAUUCAAGUUUACACUGCAAAAAACAGGGCAUUUUAAAGUGUUAUGGGUACUUUAAAAAAAAUCAGUGCGGUGAUUAUCACGAUUGCCAAAAAGUGGAAUAAGGGAGACUAGCCUGCUUUCUGGCGACCGUGAGAACCACAGGGCUCGCAGGCGAGCCCAGUUGCUGUAAAGCAGGUUACCCGCUUAUAGAUCCCUCCCUUAAGCCCAGGUUAGCAGAGUGAGUGCUCCACUAACCUGGCCUCUGCUCCGCACCACAGCAACUCACGGGAGGAGUCCCUCAACUGGGAGACUAAAAAGCAGCCUCCCGGCUCGGGAGUCUCUCCAGCAUGCUCUGUGCACUCGCACAGAUCAUUCUGGAACUUCCAGGGCCCGCGCGGGCCCCGAUCCCCGCAGCCCCCGCCAGCUCCGUGAUGGAACCAGCAGUUGUGUGGGCGGCUGAUCUGGCUGCCCAAGGCUGCAGCCUGCUCGUGUGCGAGGAGAGCAGGCUAGGCCCGCUUUCCCCGCUAACCCUCUCGAGGCGGGUCUCACUGAUCUUGAGACCUGCCUCAUUGUAUACUAAAGGGUGCCUCUGCUUUGACUACUAUGGUGUUAAACCACUGCUUUUCCAUCUGUACUUAUACUGGACCUACAGGGAAGCAAAAUGUGUAUUAGCAAUGAAGAAUUGUGAAUUUCAGAUUAUCUCUUCACUUAAUAUCUCAUUUAUGUAAUCUGUGGCCAUCAAGGUUUUGACUGAGUCUUCACAACCAUGAAAGAGGAAACUUUAAAAUAAAACUGAGCCAUUUUGACUGCCAGGCAAAUAUCUUAUAUAUCUUAUUUCCUGCCUUAUUAAGUAUACUUUUCUUACACAGUGGCUAAUAAUUACAAGUAAAGUAAAAUAAAAAAUAUGCAAACAUCACAUAGCUCAAACAUAACAAAACUAGGCUCCAGUUUUGGACUGGAGCUGGGACUAGGCUGGGGCAUGGACAAUUCUUCCAAGGAUGGAUUCUCAGGGGAAAAUAUUUUCUGGAUUAUGUCAAAGGCCUUAAAGUUGCAAGAGAUAGAUAGAUAUAUAGGGGGCCAACUGCAAGUAAGGUUGUUACCAUGGAAAUAAAACUGAGGUGCUGGUGGGAAGGAUGAGAGAAAAAUCCUGUGACAAACCAGACUGAGUAACCAGAGGAACAUGCUGAUGGUUCAGAAAUAACAAUCAAGAUAACAACAUCAGGAAUAGAGGAGGCCAGGCCUGAAAGGUGAUAAGCCGGUCAGGAGGCCUCUCCUCCACCACAUAUCUAAGUUCCAUGCAGAGACUUGACUUGAUGGCUGCUCAAUUCACAACAUUCUUCUGCCUCAAAAAGGCUUAUAUUUCCCUCUCAAUAUAAUUUAGGGUAAUCCCACAUUCCUAGGGCUGUAUAGUAAUAUUAGAGUUUCUGGAGAAUAAAGCAAGAAGAAGAAGAAAAUUAAAAGGUGUGGGCGGUGGGGGCAAGGUGAUUUUGUGAAUGAAUUGCCGUGUUUCCCCGAAAGUAGCUGCAUCUAUGGGCCUCUCCCAUUUUAUUGAUUUAUUUUUCUACUAGCU